rnacentral:rRNA from 1 species
GUGGGGAAUAUUCCGCAAUGGACGAAAGUCUGACGGAGCAACGCCGCGUGAGUGAUGAAGGUUUUCGGACUGUAAAGCUCUGUUGUUUAGGACGAAAGUGCCUGUUGCAAACAGUUACAGGUAUUGACGGUACUAAACGAGGAAGCCACGGCUAACUACGUGCCAGCAGCCGCGGUAAUACGUAGGUGGCAAGCGUUGUCCGGAAUUAUUGGGCGUAAAGAGCAUGUAGGCGGGAAUCUAAGUCUGUUGUGAAAAUGCGGGGCUCAACCCCGUAUUGCGAUGGAAACUGGGUUUCUUGAGUGCAGGAGAGGAAAGGGGAAUUCCCAGUGUAGCGGUGAAAUGCGUAGAUAUUGGGAGGAACACCAGUGGCGAAGGCGCCUUUCUGGACUGUGUCUGACGCUGAGAUGCGAAAGCCAGGGUAGCGAACGGGAUUAGAAACCCUUGUAGUCC